rnacentral:rRNA from 1 species
UACGUAGGGGGCUAGCGUUGUCCGGCAUCAUUGGGCGUAAAGCGCGUGUAGGCGGUCCGGUAAGUCCGCUGUGAAAGUCGGGGGCUCACCCCUCGGAUGCCGGUGGAUACUGUCGGGCUUGAGUACGGAAGAGGCGAGUGGAAUUCCUGGUGUAGCGGUGAAAUGCGCAGAUAUCAGGAGGAACACCAAUUGCGAAGGCAGCUCGCUGGGACGUUACUGACGCUGAGACGCGAAAGCGUGGGGAGCAAACAGG